rnacentral:rRNA from 1 species
UGCAUGGCUGUCGUCAGCUCGUGUCGUGAGAUGUUGGGUUAAGUCCGCAACGAGCGCAACCCUCGCCUUUAGUUGCCAUCAUUUAGUUGGGCACUCUAAAGAGACUGCCGGUGUCAAACCGGAGGAAGGUGGGGGAUGACGUCAAGUCCUCAUGGCCUUUAUGACCAGGGCUACACACGUACUACAAUGGUCGGUACAAAGGGCAGCCACUUAGCGAUAAGGAGCCAAUCCCGUAAAGCCGGUCUCAGUCCGGAUUGGAGUCUGCAACUCGACUCCAUGAAGUUGGAAUCGCUAGUAAUCGCAGAUCAGCACGCUGCGGUGAAUACGUUCCCGGGCCUU